CCUACGGGGCGCAGCAGUGGGGAAUAUUGCACAAUGGGGGCAACCCUGAUGCAGCGACGCCGCGUGUGUGAAGAAGUACUUCGUUAUGUAAAGCUCUAUCAGCAGGGAAGAAGAUGACGGUACCUGUGAAAGAAGCACCGGCUAAAUACGGGACAGCCGCCGCGGUAAUACGUAUGGGGCAAGCGUUAUCCGGGUUUACUGGGUGUAAAGGGAGCGCAGGCGGCACGGCAAGCCUGAUGUGAAAGCCCGCGGCCCAACCGCGGGACUGCAUUGGGAACUACCGGGCUGGAGUGCCGGAGAGGUAGGCGGAAUUCCUAGUGUAGCGGUGAAAUGCGUAGAUAUUAGGAGGAACACCAGUGGCGAAGGCGGCCUACUGGACGGUGACUGACGCUGAGGCUCGAAAGCGUGGGGAGCAAACAGGAUUAGAUACCCGUGUAGUC
rnacentral:rRNA from 1 species